UACGUAGGGUGCGAGCGUUGUCCGGAAUUAUUGGGCGUAAAGGGCUCGUAGGCGGUUUGUCGCGUCGGGAGUGAAAACCUUGGGCUUAACUCAGGGCUUGCUUUCGAUACGGGCAGACUAGAGGUAUGCAGGGGAGAACGGAAUUCCUGGUGUAGCGGUGAAAUGCGCAGAUAUCAGGAGGAACACCGGUGGCGAAGGCGGGUCUCUGGGCCGAUACUGGCGCUGAGGAGCGAAAGCGUGGGGAGCGAACAGG
rnacentral:rRNA from 1 species